rnacentral:rRNA from 1 species
GACGAACGCUGGCGGCGUGCCUAAUACAUGCAAGUCGAGCGGACUUAAAAAGCUUGCUUUUUAAGUUAGCGGCGGACGGGUGAGUAACACGUGGGCAACCUGCCUGUAAGACUGGGAUAACUUCGGGAAACCGGAGCUAAUACCGGAUAAUCCUUUUCUACCCAUGUAGAAAAGCUGAAAGACGGUUUACGCUGUCACUUACAGAUGGGCCCGCGGCGCAUUAGCUAGUUGGUGAGGUAACGGCUCACCAAGGCGACGAUGCGUAGCCGACCUGAGAGGGGGAUCGGCCACACUGGGACUGAGACACGGCCCAGACUCCUACGGGAGGCAGCAGUAGGGAAUCUGCCGCAAUGGACGAAAGUCUGACGGAGCAACGCCGCGUGAGUGAUGAAGGUGUUCGGAUCGUAAAGCUCUGUUGUUAGGGAAGAACAAGUACGAGAGUAACUGCUCGUACCUUGACGGUACCUAACCAGAAAGCCACGGCUAACUACGUG